rnacentral:rRNA from 1 species
AACGAACGCUGGCGGCAGGCCUAACACAUGCAAGUCGAACGCCCUAGCAAUAGGGAGUGGCAGACGGGUGAGUAACACGUGGGAACCUUCCCUAUAGUAUGGAAUAGCCCAGGGAAACUUGGAGUAAUACCGUAUACGCCCGAGAGGGGAAAGAUUUAUCGCUAUAGGAUGGGCCCGCGUAGGAUUAGCUAGUUGGUGAGGUAAUGGCUCACCAAGGCGACGAUCCUUAGCUGGUCUGAGAGGACGACCAGCCACACUGGGACUGAGACACGGCCCAGACUCCUACGGGAGGCAGCAGUGGGGAAUAUUGGACAAUGGGCGCAAGCCUGAUCCAGCCAUGCCGCGUGAGUGAUGAAGGCCUUAGGGUUGUAAAGCUCUUUUGCCGGGGACGAUAAUGACGGUACCCGGAGAAUAAGUCCCGGCUAACUUCGUGCCAGCAGCCGCGGUAAACACGAGGGUA